UCAGAGAAGGAAUUCUUGUCGCUCAAGCACAUCUUUCAGCAUUCCCAGAUAUAUUUAUUUGAAUUAUUCAACCAGAGUGAAAUUGGGGAUUUUUCGUU